CUCUCACCGGGCACUGAAUCCACCGAUGGCGUGAUCCUGGACUUCCUGCCUCCAGAACUGUGAGAAAUCAAUGUUUGUCAUUUAAGCCAGCCCGCCUCCCCCCACCCCCACUUCCCGCCUCAGUUCUGUGCCCUGAUCCCCAGCCCGGGCCCCUCCGAGGGCUGUUCCCUCUGGGAAGUCACAGCCCCCUGGGGCCCAGGAUCGGAUAUUAGCCCACGCCUCUGACCCUUCCCAGCUGCCCUGCCUUCGGGAUGAUGUCCAGAUUCUGACGGUGCUGCAGGUCCUGGCAGGUUGUGACCGACCUGCUGUCCCACCUGAGCUGUCACCCCUGCUCCUGUCACAGCACUCCUGACCGACCUGCUUGCUGCUCCACAGAGUUCUCUCCUGUGCGGGGUGGGGGUUUGCUUCUCUGUCCAUCCUGCUCUCGGGGGCUCCCUUCAUCCUCCUUUGGUGGCCUGGUCCUUCUUUGUCCCCAAUCUCAAAUGUCACUUCUGCUAAAAUCUCCCCUGGCCCACCUGGGCCCCCUCUCCCCAGAGUCUCCCCUUCAGAGCCACAAGCACCAGGCUGGGCUGCCUCCUGGUCGAAUCCUUUGAGCUUUGCAGCCCCUGCGGCGGCCCCGCCAGGGGAGCUUUCAUCACAGACCGGGCCUGGCAGGUGGGGCCAUGUCCAGGGGGCAGACGGCCCUGCCCCCACUAGGACACCAGGGUAGAGGCUCUCCGAGCGUGGACCAUGAUAUCAGUGCCACUGGGACGGUCAAGGGUGAAGAUUCUCAGACCUCAUCCAGGCCGGUGAAUCAGAAGCCCCGGGGAGGUGUGCUCCUGCAAGCCCCCCAGGGGAUUCUGAUGCCGGCCAGGUAUGAGAGCCCCGGGCCGGGGAGAGAACUGCCAGGAUGAGCUGCCGCCCCCUUGGCAGCCUCCCCUGUCCCCUGUGCACUCAGGUCUCCACGUCAGCAUCCGAAGCCUCUGUGUCCUGAAGGCGCACUCCGAGGAGACCGUUUGCCACCAAAGCUUAAAGCCAGGUGUCAAUAAACCCACUGGGGACCAGGCCGGACGGACUUUGGAAGAAAAGGUGCUGUGUGCCCUUCAGCAGUUCCAGCGAAAGGCCCAUCAGUUGGUGCCUCGGUCCCCUGGGCUCCCAGCCAAGCACACCUGACUGGAUUAAUGAGCAUCUGGUUGGGGAAGAAAAGGAGCCAGAGGCGGCAGGACAUUUGUGAGAGAAGCGGGGGACACCAUUCACCAGCAAGAACAGCAGCAUAAGCCGGCGUGAACUCCAACCAUCCUGGGCCAGUGCCCGGGGGUCCCCUGGCUUGGAACCAGUUGAAGCUGAUUAUGAGAGAUUCCACUGUCAUGCUGCAACCAAGCAAAAACACAAUAUGCACAGUUGCUAGAAAAGUCACCCCUCCGUUGACUGUUGUCUGUGUGCAUCAGAAAGGUGAUGCCACAGACCUGUGGUGAGGGCAAAGUGGAAUGAGACAAGAGUGACAGUUUGGCGUGGAGGGUGGCAUUUGGCUACGUAAGGACACAGCGCGGACCCAAUUACAACUGAGGCCAGAGCCAUUGUAUCCCAGGGUCAAAACGGGGACCUUGCUGUUCCCCUGCUCCAAGCCUCUAAGCAGCUCCCCAUGGUUGACUGAGAGAAGCAGGCCACCUGCACUGAAGACUUGCUCUCCGGACUCCAUCCUGGAAGCACAGGCCUCCUCCCAGCUGGCCUCCAGGAUGUCUCACCCCCUCGCCUCUGCUCCAUGGUGUAUGGAAGUUCCCAGGCUAGGGGUUGAAUUGAAGCUGCAGCUCAGCCUCCGCCAGAUCUGAGCCACAUCUGCCACCAACACCACAGCUCACGGCAACACUGGAUCCUUAACCCACUGAGCAAGGCCAGGGAUGCUAGUUGGGUUCGUUACUACCGAGCCACCAUGGGAGCUCCAGGUGAUCCUUUUGAGGAAAGGAAUUGAGGUUAUUUAAUUGGGGGAGGGUCAGGAGUGCCUGAGCCCCGUCUUGACGUGGUUAUCAAGGUUGGGAAAGAUGUUGUCUGCUCGUCUCCUGUUUUUGCAAAAAGCCACUCAGAUUGAGUUCCAGGAAGGACUGUCUUGCAUGAUGACGCAUUUCGGCCGGGUCCCUAUUCGGGACAGACCCAGGGGAGCAAGCUAGAUUCCGGGGCGAAGCGGCUAAUUCCAACUGGGACGGGGGACUUCAGACGCCAGCCUCCUCUCUGAAGGGGACACUGGGACAGUCUGGGGAGAGAAACCCGAGGCCUUCGGUUUGUGAACAAGCUGGCGGGAACCGCCAGGACGAAGGUGUGGCGAGCGGCCCAGGACAGGGAGGCGGGAAUCUAAAGCUGAUGCAACAGAGACUUGACCCUCUGCUCUGUUCUGCUUGAAGGUGGGUGGGCGACAGCUGUGGCAGGGGGACACCACUGGACAGACAGGCACUCUCGUGAUCCUCAGCGCCUUGGAGCCUAGAGGGGCAGGGAGGGUCCCGUCGGGGCCAGAUGUCCUUAAGAAGAGACAGAAAAAGAACCUCUGCGUGCCCACUGUGGGACGGAAGUCGCCUCCCUCCCCUCCUUCCUUCCCUCCGAUUCAUUCAUUCAUUCCUUCGACCUGAGCCUCGGUGCUGUGGCAGCUGCCAGCACAGAAGCAGAGCAGGGAAAGAUGAGAGGCGAGGCGGAUGAACAAGUGCAUUGUGGGGCCGUAUGAGAGGUGCGUGGAGGCUGCGUGGAGGGGUUCUGGAGGAAGUGAACAAGGAGGAGCUGGUCAGGGAGGAGGACUGGAGCGAGCAGGCCCGUCACACACCCCAUCAGCCCCAGCCCUGGUCCCGACGAGGACACCGAGGUUCAGGGUGGACCUCGGAAUCACGGCUGGCAUGUCGCAGGAUUCCAGGGCAGUUUUCUUGACUCUGAGGGGAGCGGGCUCUCCAGCACGCCGCAGAACCUUCGGCUGGGUGAUUUUUGCCGAAGCCUUUGGCCCCGGCCCUGCAGCCUGCCAUUGGCUCUCUUUCAGGGUCAUGGGAGGGAGAAACCCUUUGCUCUGAACGUUUGUUUCCCUUCCUGUUUCGCUUCAGUGGACAUUACAGGCUCUGAAUGGGGAGCCUGAGCCCCUGGCUCCCAUGGGCUGGUGGUUCGGAAAGCAAAGCAGCGCACGCGUGUGGCCGGCCACGCUGGCCGGGCUGCGGUCCCCAGAGGACACUCGGUCCACAGCAGACACCCCCCCGCCGCCCCCUGCCACCCCCUGCCCACCCCACACAUGCUCAGGGCAGAUCUCUGACAGGGAGGCUUUCUGCAAGCCCAGUCUCCUCGGGGCUGUGCUGUCUGGCCCGCAGGACUCAGUGGAUUCUCUUUUACUGAAAUACACAUUUCAAAUAUUUUGUGGCUUCUCGUACAUUUUGUUUAAAAUGAGUUGAAGUUGGAACCUACGAGAGAUAUUUGAAAAAUCUUCCUUAAAC
rnacentral:lncRNA from 1 species